rnacentral:rRNA from 1 species
AUUGAACGCUGGCGGCAGGCCUAACACAUGCAAGUCGAACGAGUGGCGGACGGGUGAGUAAUGUCUGGGAAACUGCCUGAUGGAGGGGGAUAACUACUGGAAACGGUAGCUAAUACCGCAUACCAGCGGAUGGGCCCAGAUGGGAUUAGCUAGUAGGUGGGGUAAAGGAUCACCUAGGCGACGAUCCCUAGCUGGUCUGAGAGGAUGACCAGCCACACUGGAAUUGAGACACGGUCCAGACCCCUACGGGAGGCAGCAGUGGGGAAUAUUGCACAAUGGGCGCAAGCCUGAUGCAGCCAUGCCACGUGUAUGAAGUAGGCUUUCGGGUUGUAAAGUACUUUCAGCGGGGAGGCGUUACCCGCAGAAGAAGCACCGGCUAACUCCGUGCCAGCAGCCGCGGUAAUUC